rnacentral:lncRNA from 1 species
GAUGGUAUGUAAAGAAUUAGAUGAAGAGAUGAUAUUCUUGUGAACCUUUUCUAUUACCCUUGUCUUGUUCAAAAGACUUGAUCAGUCAUAGUUGUGAUAAAACACUUCAUGACCGAUGAUUGGAUCUAUGCAAGAUAGGAAUAUCUUUUAUUUAAUUCAAAAACAUCAUCCUCUUGUUUGUGAGGCUUGAUAAGUUAUAGUUGUGUUAAAACACUUCAUAACUUAUGCUUGAAUCCAUAUAUGAGAGGUGCUUAAUAGGUUAUUGAUACAAUCCAUUGAUUCAUAACCUAU